AUCCAGCUGCACGAGUCCCAAAUAGGACGAAACGCGCGUCCUGGAU
rnacentral:hammerhead_ribozyme from 1 species